GCGGUUUUCCCGCAAGGGAAAACUGAGUGGCGAACGGGUGAGUAACACGUGGGUGACCUACCUUCGAGUGGGGGAUAACGUCCCGAAAGGGACGCUAAUACCGCAUAACAUCCUGCUCUUGAACGAGUGGAGAUCAAAGCCGGGGAUCGCAAGACCUGGCGCUUGAUGAGGGGCCCGCGUCCGAUUAGCUAGUUGGUGAGGUAAUGGCUCACCAAGGCAACGAUCGGUAGCCGGCCUGAGAGGGCGGACGGCCACACUGGGACUGAGACACGGCCCAGACUCCUACGGGAGGCAGCAGUGGGGAAUUGUUCGCAAUGGGCGCAAGCCUGACGACGCAACGCCGCGUGGAGGAUGAAGGUCUUCGGAUUGUAAACUCCUGUUGCCAGGGACGAAUGGCCACGACCUAACACGUCGUGGUGUGACGGUACCUGGUGAGGAAGCCCCGGCUAACUCUGUGCCAGCAGCCGCGGUAAUACAGAGGGGGCAAGCGUUGUUCGGAAUUACUGGGCGUAAAGGGCGCGUAGGCGGCCUGUUAAGUCGAACGUGAAAUCCCCGGGCUCAACCCGGGAACUGCGUCCGAUACUGGCAGGCUUGAAUUCGGGAGAGGGAUGCGGAAUUCCAGGUGUAGCGGUGAAAUGCGUAAAUAUCUGGGAGGAACACCGGUGGCGAAGGCGGCAUCCU
rnacentral:rRNA from 1 species